rnacentral:rRNA from 1 species
AACGUAGGAGACAAACGUUAUCCGGAGUUACUGGGCGUAAAGGGCGUGCAGGCGGUCUGUUAAGUCUAGGGUGAAAGCUCCCGGCUCAACUGGGAGAGGUCCUUGGAUACUGGCGGACUUGAGGGAGGCAGAGGAAAGUGGAAUUCCCGGUGUAGUGGUGAUAUGCGUAGAUAUCGGGAGGAACACCAGUGGCGAAGGCGGCUUUCUGGGCCUUACCUGACGCUGAGACGCGAAAGCGUGGGGAGCGAACCGG